rnacentral:rRNA from 1 species
CCUACGGGAGGCAGCAGUAGGGAAUCUUCCGCAAUGGACGAAAGUCUGACGGAGCAACGCCGCGUGAACGAUGAAGGCCUUCGGGUCGUAAAGUUCUGUUGUUAGGGAAGAACAAGUGCUAGUUAAAUAAGCUGGCACCUUGACGGUACCUAACCAGAAAGCCACGGCUAACUACGUGCCAGCAGCCGCGGUAAUACGUAGGUGGCAAGCGUUGUCCGGAAUUAUUGGGCGUAAAGCGCGCGCAGGCGGUUUCUUAAGUCUGAUGUGAAAGCCCCCGGCUCAACCGGGGUAGGGUCAUUGGAAACUGGGAAACUUGAGUGCAGAAGAGGAAAGUGGAAUUCCAAGUGUAGCGGUGAAAUGCGUAGAGAUUUGGAGGAACACCAGUGGCGAAGGCGACUUUCUGGUCUGUAACUGACGCUGAGGCGCGAAAGCGUGGGGAGCAAACAGGAUUAGAUACCCUGGUAGUCCACGCUGUAAACGAUGAGUGCUAAGUGUUACGAGGGUUUUCCGCCCUUUAGUGCUGAAGUUAACGCAUUAAGCACUCCGCCUGGGGAANCGGUCGCAAGCUGAAACCUUAAANGAAUUGACGG